rnacentral:rRNA from 1 species
GACGAACGCUGGCGGCGUGCUUAACACAUGCAAGUCGUGCGGUAAGGCCCUUUCGGGGGUCCACGAGCGGCGAACGGGUGAGUAACACGUGAGCAACCUGCCCUUCACUUUGGGAUAACUGCCGGAAACGGUGGCUAAUACCGGAUAUGACUUCCUCACGCAUGUGGGGUGGUGGAAAGCCUUCGGGUGGUGGGGGAUGGGCUCGCGGUCUAUCAGCUUGUUGGUGGGGGGAUGGCCUACCAAGGCUUCGACGGGUAGCCGGCCUGAGGGGGUGACCGGCCACACUGGGACUGAGACACGGCCCAGACUCCUACGGGAGGCAGCAGUGGGGAAUAUUGGACAAUGGGCGAAAGCCUGAUCCAGCAACGCCGCGUGAGGGAUGACGGCCUUCGGGUUGUAAACCUCUUUUGCCUGCGACGAAGCGAGAGUGACGGUAGCAGGUAAAGAAGCACCGGCCAACUACGUG